rnacentral:rRNA from 1 species
UACGUAGGGAGCAAGCGUUGUCCGGAAUCAUUGGGCGUAAAGCGCGCGUAGGUGGCCUCAUAAGUCCGCUGUGAAAGUCAAAGGCUCAACCUUUGAAAGCCGGUGGAUACUGUGAGGCUAGAGUACGGAAGAGGCGAGUGGAAUUCCUGGUGUAGCGGUGGAAUGCGCAGAUAUCAGGAGGAACACCAAUAGCGAAGGCAGCUCGCUGGGACGUUACUGACACUGAGGCGCGAAAGCGUGGGGAGCUAACAGG